rnacentral:RNase_P_RNA from 1 species
CGGAGCCGGCUGGCGGCCACGGGAGUUGCACUCCUGAGGAAGCACCGCCCUCCACGCGGUGCGAGGACCCCGUAAGGGGUGCGGGGAGACCCGCGGCAACAGCACAGAAACGACACGGCCGCUCCCGAAUGUCAAUGAGGCGGCGAGGACGCUUCGGCAACGAAGCGUCAGUAACCCGCUGAGUAUGGGAGCGGAUGCGUUGAAACGGCUGCCCCCUCGGGAGCAAGGCCAAGUAGCGCCGAUGAGGACCGCGUGAGGCGCGGGUAGGCCGUUGAGCUUAAUGCCGCCGUAGUACUGAAGGCGGGCUAUAGCCGGCACCG